rnacentral:rRNA from 1 species
CCUACGGGAGGCAGCAGUGGGGAAUAUUGCGCAAUGGGCGAAAGCCUGACCCAGCAACGCCGCGUGAAGGAAGAAGGCUUUCGGGUUGUAAACUUCUUUUCUCAGGGACGAAGCUGGUGACGGUUACUGAGGAAUAAGCUACGGCUAACUUCGGGCCAGCCGCCGUGGUAAUACGUAGGUGGCAAGCGUUAUCCGGAUUUACUGGGUGCAAAGGGCGUGUCGGGGGGGACGCAAGUCAGAUGUGAAAACCGGGGGCUCAACCUGUGGCCUGCAUUUGAUACUGUGAUUCUUGAGUACUGGAGAGGUAGGCGGAAUUCCUAGUGUAGCGGUGAAAUGCGUAGAUAUUAGGAAGAACACCAGGGGCGAAGGCGGUCUGCUGGACAGCAACUGACGCUGAGGCGCGAAAGCGUGGGGAGCAAACAGGAUUAGAUACCCCAGUAGUC